AUGAGGAGACACUGGGGAGCUCUGCUGGGAAUCCUGUGGCUCCAGGUUUACUGGGUGAGAGGGAUGACGGUGGAGCAGAGCCCUUCAGUCCUGAACCUCCAGGAGGGAGCCAGCUCUAUUCUGAAGUGCAAUUUUUCUAGCAGUCCAUACAGUAUGCAGUGGUUCCGACAGCACCCCAGGGGCAGCAGCCUCAUCCGGCUGUUUUACAUAGCUUCAGGGAUGCAGCUCAGUGGGAGAUUAAACUGCACAGUGAAUACUAAGGAGCAGUCCAGCACCCUCCACAUCACAGCUUCCCAACUGGAAGACUCAGCCACCUACCUGUGUGCGGGGGAG